rnacentral:rRNA from 1 species
CAGUCGCCGCGGUAAUACGAAGGGUGCAAGCGUUAAUCGGAAUUACUGGGCGUAAAGCGUGCGCAGGCGGUUGUGCAAGACAGAUGUGAAAUCCCCGAGCUUAACUUGGGAACUGCAUUUGUGACUGCACGGCUAGAGUGUGUCAGAGGGGGGUAGAAUUCCACGUGUAGCAGUGAAAUGCGUAGAUAUGUGGAGGAAUACCGAUGGCGAAGGCAGCCCCCUGGGAUAACACUGACGCUCAUGCACGAAAGCGUGGGGAGCAAACAGGAUUAGAUACCCGCGUAGUCCCUGUCUCUUAUAC